GCCGCACCUCCACCCUCCUGUCUGGUUUCAGUUCCUUUUUCUCUUGCCAGUGUGGCCAGCCUCAGGAGACAUCUGGAGGGAGAAAACCGGCUUCCUCUUCCCGCAGGCACCCCAGUCCCGAGGAGUUGUUUUUGGGGAGCGCCUUGCUCGGUGGAGGCAGUGAGGGGACAGAUUCCAAAUCUGGCCCCCCAGGCUGACAUCUCCCCUCCCACAGUUAGCUGGGUGAACAGAGCAUGGGGGAGGUGGGAGGGCUGGGGCCCAGCCAGACUUUUCGGCUGUUUAUUAGCCCUGAGAACAUACCUGGUCCCGUUUGUUACUGUUGAGUACCUACUAUGUGCUCAGGACAGCGUGAGGUGCUGGUCACAGCAAUGAAUGAAAGACAGCAGUCGUCACGGCCAAUCAUCAUUUUAUUAAUUUUUUGAAGGAGGGAGAGAGACAGAGUGUGAGUACGGGAGGGGCAGAGAGAGAGGGGGGGAAACACAGAAUCCGAAAUGGGCUCCAGUCUCCGAGCGGUCAGCACAGAGCCCGACGUGGGGCUCGAACUCACCAGCCAGGAGAUCAUGACCUGAGCCGAAGUCAGUCGCCUAACCGACUGAGCCACCCAGGCACCCCACGGCCAAUCGUUAUUAAUGGGGGAAAGGGAUCAGGAAUAAGUAAGUAAACAUGUCAGGGCUAGCACUGAGAAGCCAAAUCUAGCAGCGUAAGGGGAUGGGGAGUGACCCAGGGGAGAGGUCAGGGCAUUGGUAGCAUUCAGCUCCCCCCCCCCCCCCACCAACCCCGGGGGCUCCUAGAGGAUUCUGGGCAAGAGAAGCCCAGCCACGCUGUGCCAGCCCCGGGGCGGGGGUGGGGUGGGGGAGGGAUGGGGGAGCUGGGUUUCCAAGUCUGUGCACUUACUUGGUUUUAUUCAGUCAUGGAUGUCCCAGCUCGCUUUACCAGCCAACCCGUUCUGUAGACCCAGGAGCCACCAUGGGCUGGCCACAGCAGGCUGUCAGUCACAUCUGCUCAGCAUGGAGGAGGCUCUCACCACAUCACAGGGAGCUGUGUGGCUCCCAGCUCGGGGUGAGGGUGGGGGGAGCCCAGCCCCUUCUGGGUCCUCUUCGUGGGGCCUUGGGGACAGUCAGCACCCAAGCCAGAGGGAACAGAUGCCUCCCCAGCUACACACCCCAGGCCUGAGGGUUUGGGGUUUGGAAGGAGGCCUGGGUCACAGUGACCACUUCUGUCCCUGUGGCUCAAGCCACUGCUUCAGGCCCGGGGUGGGAGAGUGUCCAGGAAGCGUGUGGCCCGCCUUCGGCUGUCGGGAGACCAGGCAGUGGCUCCUGGGCUCAUGCAGAGCCUCAUCCGGGGUUGGUGCACAGCACGACCAGGGACCCGGAGCCUCCUCGCCAUGGCUGCUAAGUGUGGGCAGGUCCUGACCUCCGUCCUGUUUGCCCUCCUGCUGGGACUCACAGCUGGGCGGCCCUUCAUCUCUCUGACGGGCCCAUCUCAGAGGACGACCCCGGGAAACCCAGUGCCUUUCAACUGUACGGCCGGCCCCUUCAGCUCCUGGGAUUUCAAUGUCACCUGGAUGAAGGGCAGCGAUGAGCAUCCAGCCUCAGCCCAGCACCUGGUGACCAACAACCAAGGCAACUACUUCGUUACCAGUAAGGUGUGGGUGACACUGACCCUCCAGGAUCUCUUACUGGAGAUCACCUGCGAAGUCACCCACAGGGCCCUGGGAGAGCCUCUGCGAAAGACCAUGAACCUCUCCCAAGUGCUCCAAGUUGUCCCCACCCUGAAGAUCACCACCAAGACCUCCGGGACGUACAUCCACGUGCAACAGAGAGUGAAUCUCACCUGCCACGCGAGCCACUUCUACCCCUCCCACCUACGUCUCACCUGGAUGGAGAACAGACACCAGGUCCACACGGUGGAGUCCCCACAGGUCACAAGAAACCCAGAUGGCACCUACUCUCUGAAGCACACGUGGCAGGCAGAGGCCACGCUGGACGGGAGCGAGUUUGCUUGCUGGGUGGUCCAGGAUGAGCAGCCGCCCGUCGGGGCCAACAUCACCCUGCGGGCCCAGGCACCCAGGCUGGGGAAAGGCCGGAGCACCUACUCCUACUCCUUGCAAGGCCCCCUUCAGCGAUCUGAGCCGGGGAAGAGCAUCCAGCUGACCUACGUGUCCUCCGGAUUCCCGUCACGCCACAUUACCGUGACCUGGUUUAAAAAGAACCACGAGCUCCCAAAGACGCAGACCUACGUCCACCCCAGUGGGGACACACACAAUGUGACCAGCCGAGUGCUCGUCCCGCUGCAAGCGGACGAUGUGCUCUCCUUCGUCCAAUGCCACGUCAGUCAUAAACCCACACUGGUCUUCCAGAAAGCCAUCAACCUGGACCAGUACCUCCGUGUUCCCCCUACAGUGACAGUGUCCCAGUCUUCACGCUCCUCAGACUUGGUGGCUGUCACCUGCCGCGUGCAGAGAUUCUAUCCACAGAGUGUGCAUCUCACCUGGACAGAGAACUGCCAUACGAUCGAGGGAGCUGAGCAGCUCACAUCCAAGCAGAAUAGCGAUGGGACCUACACCCUGGAAGGCUUGCAUUUGGUGAACGUGUCAGGGCCGGGGUCCGAGCAGGUGCUCACCUGUAAGGUGCAGCACGAGACCCAACCUCCCAUCCAGGCCAGCCUCAUACUGUCUGCGGAAGCACACAGCACAUACAAGCCCAUCGGAAGCUCAGGGCCCGAGAUGCCUGUCCUCAUCUUUGUGGCAUUCCUUCUGGGCUUCAAGGUGCUGCUGGCGAUGAGUUUCAUAGUCACCUACAUCUGCAGGUGGCGGGGCCGGUAACAGGCUGAAACGUCAGAGAGAAGUGAUUGCCAUCUGGACCUGACGGUCCACAAGCAUAAAGCAUUUACUGUCCGGCCAUCUAAGACAAAGCUCGCCAACGCCUGAGAGACAAUAUUUAAAGACAAACAAUCUCAUUUUAUAAGUGCAUGAAAGAUUUGACGAGCCGCUCCACCAAAGAACAAAAAAUAA